rnacentral:rRNA from 1 species
AGUGAACGCUGGCGGUAGGCCUAACACAUGCAAGUCGAACGGCAGCACAGUAAGAGCUUGCUCUUACGGGUGGCGAGUGGCGGACGGGUGAGGAAUACAUCGGAAUCUACUUUUUCGUGGGGGAUAACGUAGGGAAACUUACGCUAAUACCGCAUACGACCUACGGGUGAAAGCAGGGGAUCUUCGGACCUUGCGCGAUUGAAUGAGCCGAUGUCGGAUUAGCUAGUUGGCGGUGUAAAGGCCCACCAAGGCGACGAUCCGUAGCUGGUCUGAGAGGAUGAUCAGCCACACUGGAACUGAGACACGGUCCAGACUCCUACGGGAGGCAGCAGUGGGGAAUAUUGGACAAUGGGCGCAAGCCUGAUCCAGCCAUACCGCGUGGGUGAAGAAGGCCUUCGGGUUGUAAAGCCCUUUUGUUGGGAAAGAAAAGCAGCAGGUUAAUACCCCGCUGUUCUGACGGUACCCAAAGAAUAAGCACCGGCUAACUUCGU